UGUGUGUAGGUGGACAGGGAAUGGGGAGCUCUGUGUGUGUGUAGGUGGACAGGGAAUGGGGAGCUCUGUUUGUGUAGGUGGACAGGGAAUGGGGAGCUCUGUGUGUGUGUAGGUGGACAGGGAAUGGGGAGCUCUGUGUGUGUGUGUGUGUAGGUGGACAGGGAAUGGGGAGCUCUGUGUGUGUGUAGGUGGACAGGGAAUGGGGAGCUCUGUGUGUGUGUAGGUGGACAGGGAAUGGGGAGCUCUGUGUGUGUGUAGGUGGACAGGGAAUGGGGAGCUCUGUGUGUGUAGGUGGACAGGGAAUGGGGAGCUCUGUGUGUGUGUGUGUAGGUGGACAGGGAAUGGGGAGCUCUGUGUGUGUGUGUGUGGACAGGGAAUGGGGAGCUCUGUGUGUGUGUGUGUGUGU
ensembl:lncRNA